AUUGAACGCUGGCGGCAGGCCUAACACAUGCAAGUCGAGCGGAUGAAGGGAGCUUGCUCCUGGAUUCAGCGGCGGACGGGUGAGUAAUGCCUAGGAAUCUGCCUGGUAGUGGGGGAUAACGUCCGGAAACGGGCGCUAAUACCGCAUACGUCCUGAUGGAGAAAGUGGGUGAUCUUCGGACCUCACGCUAUCAGAUGAGCCUAGGUCGGUUUAGCUAGUUGGUGGGGUAAAGGCCUACCAAGGCGACGAUCCGUAACUGGUCUGAGAGGAUGAUCAGUCACACUGGAACUGAGACACGGUCCAGACUCCUACGGGAGGCAGCAGUGGGGAAUAUUGGACAAUGGGCGAAAGCCUGAUCCAGCCAUGCCGCGUGUGUGAAGAAGGUCUUCGGAGUGUAAAGCACUUUAAGUUGGGAGGAAGGGCAGUAAGUUAAUACCUUGCUGUUUUGACGUUACCAACAGAAUAAGCACCGGCUAACUUCGUG
rnacentral:rRNA from 1 species